AUUGAACGCUGGCGGCAGGCCUAACACAUGCAAGUCGAACGGCAGCACAGAAGAGCUUGCUCUUUGGGUGGCGAGUGGCGGACGGGUGAGUAACACGUAGGAAUCUACCCAGUAGUGGGGGAUAACCUGGGGAAACCCAGGCUAAUACCGCAUACGCCCUGAGGGGGAAAGCGGGGGAUCUUCGGACCUCGCGCUAUUGGAUGAGCCUGCGUCGGAUUAGCUAGUUGGUGAGGUAAAGGCUCACCAAGGCGACGAUCCGUAGCUGGUCUGAGAGGAUGAUCAGCCACACCGGAACUGAGACACGGUCCGGACUCCUACGGGAGGCAGCAGUGGGGAAUAUUGCGCAAUGGGCGAAAGCCUGACGCAGCCAUACCGCGUGUGUGAAGAAGGCCUCGGUU
rnacentral:rRNA from 1 species